rnacentral:rRNA from 1 species
UACGGAGGAUGCGAGCGUUAUCCGGAUUUAUUGGGUUUAAAGGGUGCGUAGGCGGAUUAAUAAGUCAGGGGUGAAAUCUCACAGCUCAACUGUGAAACUGCCUUUGAUACUGUUAGUCUUGAGUGUAAACAAGGUGGGCGGAAUGUGUAAUGUAGCGGUGAAAUGCUUAGAUAUUACCCAGAAGACCGAUUGCGAAGGCAGCUCACUGGCAUACAACUGACGCUGAUGCACGAAAGCGUGGGGAGCGAACAGG